GCUGGGUGCGGUGGCGGGCACCUGUAAUCCCAGCUACUUGGGAGGCUGAGGAGAGAGAAUUGCUUGAACCCGGGAGGCAGAGGUUGCGGUGAGCAGAGAUCACAGCACUGCACUCCAGCCUGGGCAACAGAGCAAGACCCCUUCUCAA
rnacentral:SRP_RNA from 1 species